rnacentral:piRNA from 1 species
UGUGGUUUUAACUCCUCUCUGUAAAGC